rnacentral:lncRNA from 1 species
CGCUUUGGAGAUCCCGAGGAUCUGUAUCUUGCUUCAACAGUGUUUGGACGGAACAGACCCGGGGACUCCCACUUUAUUCACUUCCAGCCGCCUUACAAGUCUCUCCAGUCGCAGCCUCCGGGACCAUCUCCUUGCCGCCUUCGGCUCCUAGGACCAGCCAGCCCCGUCUUCGCGGUUAGCUCCAUACUCCGGAUCAGCCAUGACCUCUCAGAUUCGUCAGAAUUAUUCCACCGAAGUGGAAGCUGCCGUGAACCGCCUGGUCAACUUGCACCUGCGGGCCUCUUACACCUACCUCUCUCUGGUGAGUAGCUCGGGGUUGCCCUCCGAACGGUGUCCCUCACACCCACCCUCCUGCGCAUGCGCGGGCCUUCUUUGUUCAGUACGGAGACGGCUCCGGCCUCUCCUCCCUCCCUUGCGCCCUUGUAUACUUUUUAGUUUUGUCUGACUGGAACUCACUGAGCAGACCAGGCUGCCCUCGAAAUCCUACACUCCUACUGCCUCUGCCUCUUCUUGAGUGUUGCGGUUGAAGUUUAAAGUGUUCGCCACCGCCUUCACCGUUAACCCGUAUUUGUAACACUUCUUCCCGCAGGGCUUCUUUUUUGAUCGGGAUGACGUGGCUUUGGAAGGCGUAGGCCACUUCUUCCGCGAAUUGGCCGAGGAGAAGCGCGAGGGCGCCGAGCGUCUCCUCAAGUUGCAGAACGAACGCGGGGGCCGUGCACUCUUCCAGGAUGUGCAGGUAAGAGCCAGGGUCAUUGGACACCACCAAGCAUACGGUGAGCUUGCCAUCCCAUAGCUUUUACCAGGGAGAAGUUUAGGGGGUGAGGAGAGCAGGACGUUGUAGACAAUAGGGUGUCACGCCAGCUUACUGCGUGUAUGUAGGUAGAGCUGCCAAAAGCACCAGGAUC